UUAGGAAUCUUGCGCAAUGGGGGAAACCCUGACGCAGCGACGCCGCGUGAAGGAUGACGGCCUUCGGGUUGUAAACUUCUUUUAUCAGGGAAGAAGAUCUGACGGUACCUGAUGAAUAAGCCCCGGCUAACUACGUGCCAGCAGCCGCGGUAAUACGUAGGGGGCGAGCGUUGUCCGAAUUUAUUGGGCGUAAAGCGCGCGUAGGCGGACCUUUAAGUUGGUGGUGAAAUCCCGGGGCUCAACCCCGGAACUGCCUCCAAAACUGGGGGUCUUGAGGUAUGGAGAGGGAAGUGGAAUUCCUGGUGUAGCGGUGAAAUGCGUAGAUAUCAGGAGGAACACCCGUGGCGAAGGCGGCUUCCUGGCCAUAUCCUGACGCUGAGGUGCGAAAGCUAGGGGAGCGAACGGG
rnacentral:rRNA from 2 species